AACGAACGCUGGCGGCAGGCUUAACACAUGCAAGUCGAACGCACCGCAAGGUGAGUGGCAGACGGGUGAGUAACACGCGGGGAUCUGCCCAAUGGUACGGAAUAGCUCCGGGAAACUGGAAUUAAUACCGGAUCAGCCCGCAAGUGGCAAGAUUUAUCGCCAUCGGAUGAACCCCCGUCGGAUUAGCUAGUUGGUGUGGUAAAGGCGCACCAAGGCGACGAACCGUAGCUGGUCUGAGAGGAUGAUCACGCCACACUGGGACUGAGACACGGCCCAGACUCCUACGGGAGGCAGCAGUGGGGAAUAUUGGACAAUGGGCGCAAGCCUGAUCCAGCCAUGCCGCGUGAGUGAUGAAGGCCUUAGGGUUGUAAAGCUCUUUCGCCGACGAAGAUAAUGACGGUAGUCGGAGAAGAAGCCCCGGCUAACUUCGUGCCAGCCGCCGCGGUAACAC
rnacentral:rRNA from 1 species